rnacentral:misc_RNA from 1 species
AAGUCGUAACAAGGUUUCCGUAGGUGAACCUGCGGAAGGAUCAUUACAAAUCCAAAAAUAUUCUAUACAAGUUGCAAUGUUUGUGGUUUGUGGAGAGAGGAGGAGGAGAGUUUACUCUGCUGCUACUCAUUCAUUCCACAUGCUCUUUCUUUUAUGACGUUUAUUUGUUGUUCAGUUGUAUUUCAUUACAAAAAUUCAAUCACAACUUAUAACAAUGGAUCUCUAGGCUCUU